CAAACAACAAAAAAAUUGGGGUUGUAUUUUUAAAGCCAGAAAUAAUAAAAUACGAACGUUAGCUUCCUUGUCUGUGAUUGGACUCUUCUUAAGGUAAAAUGUAGAUACUGGGAAACGCCAGUGAACUAGUGAUUCCUGUUAGUCAGGUUUGGUUGAUAGCAGAUUUACUUUGUUUUUCUCCGGCAAGAAUCAGACUUCCAAACAAUUUGUUUUCUUGGGUUCUAGCUGGAAGUGCCUGGAGCCUGCAGACAGCGUCUCUCCACCCUAGCUGCUGGUGCAACCUGUCUAGCAGGGCGUGACAUGGCUGUUGUCGUCACUGCCUUGCGCUCUGCCUUACCAGUCCCACAUUCCUGGGCUGGAAGUCUUCUCUUCACGGGGCAUCGAGAAGACUAAUUUCUACUAUCUCCAUUCACUACACACCACCCGGCAACUGGAGCUGUCCACAAUACUGAAUAUGGAGAGGACAGGUCAGGAAGGUACAUGU
rnacentral:lncRNA from 1 species